CACUUUGCUAAAGACAUACACUUACAACGCCACAUGUUUACCCACACUGAGGAGAGACCUUGUAAAUGUGACCUGUGUGAAAAGACUUUUAAAACUCCAUAUUACCUGAAACUACACCAACAGAUCCACACCAGAAAGAGACUCUACAAGUGCAGUUACUGUGAGAAGCAGAGCGACACAGAUGGAUCCAGUUCUCAACCCUGUCAUCGCUGUGGUGGUGGGAAAGACUUUCGUUGUGACCUUUGUGGAAAAACUUUCAAUUG